rnacentral:rRNA from 1 species
UACGGAGGGUGCAAGCGUUAUCCGGAAUCACUGGGUUUAAAGGGUGCGUAGGCGGUUUAUUAAGUCAGUUGUGAAAUUCCCCCGCUUAACGGGAGGGACUGCGAAUGAUACUGGUAAACUUGAAUCAGGUUGAGGUGGGCGGAAUGUGACAUGUAGCGGUGAAAUGCAUAGAUAUGUCAUAGAACACCGAUUGCGAAGGCAGCUCACUGGACCUGUAUUGACGCUGAGGCACGAAAGCGUGGGGAGCAAACAGG